UACGAAGGGGGCGAGCGUUGUUCGGAAUUACUGGGCGGAAAGGGCGCGUAGGCGGCGACUCAAGUUAGAUGUGAAAGUCCUGGGCUUAACCUGGGGACUGCAUUUGAUACUGGGUUGCUUGAAUUCGGGAGAGGAUAGCGGAAUUCCCAGUGUAGAGGUGAAAUUCGUAGAUAUUGGGAAGAACACCGGUGGCGAAGGCGGCUAUCUGGACCGACAUUGACGCUGAGGCGCGAAAGCGUGGGUAGCAAACAGG
rnacentral:rRNA from 1 species